AGAAAAGAGAACAUGAACGUGGGAUAAAGAGGGACUUGAGGCUGGGAAAUGGCUUUGUCACCUACUCAAUCCCCACAAUGACUGGAUGUCACUGUCCAUGUUAUGGAAGAGGAGGCUGCAGAGGAAGAGACGGUGGCUAAGAAAGACCCCAGGACGAGCCGGUGACAGAAGCAGGAUGCGGGCCCCCAAUUCCCCCUCUGCGCCCCGCUCUUCUUCUUCCGGCCAGGAAAUUCCGCCGGGUUCAUCGUCUUUGGCCGCGAAGUCCCCAGGGGGAGCAACGAAAACUUGUGAGGCUGAGAAAAACCAGAGGCCAAGCGGAUGGUCCCUGCAGUUGACCAGGGUGCUAGAGGUGGACGGGCCUGGCAUGACGCGGUGAACGUUCCAGGCCCUCUCUCAUCCCGCAAAUGGCUCUGGGUGUGGAGACAGCCCAGGGAAGAGGCUGUGCACGAAGCCUGUUAGAGCCGUGGUGGCAACACUGCUAAUAAGACCCCCCUCUUCUCGCCGACAUUGACAGGCCGUUCCCCCCUCCAUGGGAACCGCACGAGGACUGGCCUCGCCCCCAGAGAUCUGGGAUUGAGAACCUGACAGUUUGGACACACAGCCCGUGGGCAAUGUUUCCUUUCUCCGGGGCUUGUGUCUGUGCCAAGAAUUCCUAACAAAGGGGGAAAAAAUUAAUUAAUUUUAAAAACCCAUAAAAAAUGCCCAUGAAACUGA